rnacentral:rRNA from 1 species
GGGUUGUGAGGUUAAGCGACUAAGCGUACACGGUGGAUGCCCUGGCAGUCAGAGGCGAUGAAGGACGUGCUAAUCUGCGAUAAGCGUCGGUAAGGUGAUAUGAACCGUUAUAACCGGCGAUUUCCGAAUGGGGAAACCCAGUGUGAUUCGUCACACUAUCAUUAACUGAAUCCAUAGGUUAAUGAGGCGAACCGGGGGAACUGAAACAUCUAAGUACCCCGAGGAAAAGAAAUCAACCGAGAUUCCCCCAGUAGCGGCGAGCGAACGGGGAGGAGCCCAGAGCCUGAAUCAGUGUGUGUGUUAGUGGAAGCGUCUGGAAAGGCGCGCGAUACAGGGUGACAGCCCCGUACACAAAAAUGCACAUGCUGUGAGCUCGAUGAGUAGGGCGGGACACGUGGUAUCCUGUCUGAAUAUGGGGGGACCAUCCUCCAAGGCUAAAUACUCCUGACUGACCGAUAGUGAACCAGUACCGUGAGGGAAAGGCGAAAAGAACCCCGGCGAGGGGAGUGAAAAAGAACCUGAAACCGUGUACGUACAAGCAGUGGGAGCACAGAGCAAUCUGUGUGACUGCGUACCUUUUGUAUAAUGGGUCAGCGACUUAUAUUCUGUAGCAAGGUUAACCGAAUAGGGGAGCCGAAGGGAAACCGAGUCUUAACUGGGCGUUAAGUUGCAGGGUAUAGACCCGAAACCCGGUGAUCUAGCCAUGGGCAGGUUGAAGGUUGGGUAACACUAACUGGAGGACCGAACCGACUAAUGUUGAAAAAUUAGCGGAUGACUUGUGGCUGGGGGUGAAAGGCCAAUCAAACCGGGAGAUAGCUGGUUCUCCCCGAAAGCUAUUUAGGUAGCGCCUCGUGAAUUCAUCUCCGGGGGUAGAGCACUGUUUCGGCAAGGGGGUCAUCCCGACUUACCAACCCGAUGCAAACUGCGAAUACCGGAGAAUGUUAUCACGGGAGACACACGGCGGGUGCUAACGUCCGUCGUGAAGAGGGAAACAACCCAGACCGCCAGCUAAGGUCCCAAAGUCAUGGUUAAGUGGGAAACGAUGUGGGAAGGCCCAGACAGCCAGGAUGUUGGCUUAGAAGCAGCCAUCAUUUAAAGAAAGCGUAAUAGCUCACUGGUCGAGUCGGCCUGCGCGGAAGAUGUAACGGGGCUAAACCAUGCACCGAAGCUGCGGCAGCGACGCUGAUGCGUUGUUGGGUAGGGGAGCGUUCUGUAAGCCUGCGAAGGUGUGCUGUGAGGCAUGCUGGAGGUAUCAGAAGUGCGAAUGCUGACAUAAGUAACGAUAAAGCGGGUGAAAAGCCCGCUCGCCGGAAGACCAAGGGUUCCUGUCCAACGUUAAUCGGGGCAGGGUGAGUCGACCCCUAAGGCGAGGCCGAAAGGCGUAGUCGAUGGGAAACAGGUUAAUAUUCCUGUACUUGGUGUUACUGCGAAGGGGGGACGGAGAAGGCUAUGUUGGCCGGGCGACGGUUGUCCCGGUUUAAGCGUGUAGGCUGGUUUUCCAGGCAAAUCCGGAAAAUCAAGGCUGAGGCGUGAUGACGAGGCACUACGGUGCUGAAGCAACAAAUGCCCUGCUUCCAGGAAAAGCCUCUAAGCAUCAGGUAACAUCAAAUCGUACCCCAAACCGACACAGGUGGUCAGGUAGAGAAUACCAAGGCGCUUGAGAGAACUCGGGUGAAGGAACUAGGCAAAAUGGUGCCGUAACUUCGGGAGAAGGCACGCUGAUAUGUAGGUGAAGCGACUUGCUCGUGGAGCUGAAAUCAGUCGAAGAUACCAGCUGGCUGCAACUGUUUAUUAAAAACACAGCACUGUGCAAACACGAAAGUGGACGUAUACGGUGUGACGCCUGCCCGGUGCCGGAAGGUUAAUUGAUGGGGUUAGCGCAAGCGAAGCUCUUGAUCGAAGCCCCGGUAAACGGCGGCCGUAACUAUAACGGUCCUAAGGUAGCGAAAUUCCUUGUCGGGUAAGUUCCGACCUGCACGAAUGGCGUAAUGAUGGCCAGGCUGUCUCCACCCGAGACUCAGUGAAAUUGAACUCGCUGUGAAGAUGCAGUGUACCCGCGGCAAGACGGAAAGACCCCGUGAACCUUUACUAUAGCUUGACACUGAACAUUGAGCCUUGAUGUGUAGGAUAGGUGGGAGGCUUUGAAGUGUGGACGCCAGUCUGCAUGGAGCCGACCUUGAAAUACCACCCUUUAAUGUUUGAUGUUCUAACGUGGACCCGUAAUCCGGGUUGCGGACAGUGUCUGGUGGGUAGUUUGACUGGGGCGGUCUCCUCCUAAAGAGUAACGGAGGAGCACGAAGGUUGGCUAAUCCUGGUCGGACAUCAGGAGGUUAGUGCAAUGGCAUAAGCCAGCUUGACUGCGAGCGUGACGGCGCGAGCAGGUGCGAAAGCAGGUCAUAGUGAUCCGGUGGUUCUGAAUGGAAGGGCCAUCGCUCAACGGAUAAAAGGUACUCCGGGGAUAACAGGCUGAUACCGCCCAAGAGUUCAUAUCGACGGCGGUGUUUGGCACCUCGAUGUCGGCUCAUCACAUCCUGGGGCUGAAGUAGGUCCCAAGGGUAUGGCUGUUCGCCAUUUAAAGUGGUACGCGAGCUGGGUUUAGAACGUCGUGAGACAGUUCGGUCCCUAUCUGCCGUGGGCGCUGGAGAACUGAGGGGGGCUGCUCCUAGUACGAGAGGACCGGAGUGGACGCAUCACUGGUGUUCGGGUUGUCAUGCCAAUGGCACUGCCCGGUAGCUAAAUGCGGAAGAGAUAAGUGCUGAAAGCAUCUAAGCACGAAACUUGCCCCGAGAUGAGUUCUCCCUGACUCCUUGAGAGUCCUGAAGGAACGUUGAAGACGACGACGUUGAUAGGCCGGGUGUGUAAGCGCAGCGAUGCGUUGAGCUAACCGGUACUAAUGAACCGUGAGGCUUAACCUUACAACGCCGAAG